rnacentral:misc_RNA from 1 species
GAUGAAGAACGCAGCGAAAUGCGAUAAGUAAUGUGAAUUGCAGAAUUCAGUGAAUCAUCGAAUCUUUGAACGCACAUUGCGCCCGCUGGUAUUCCGGCGGGCAUGCCUGUUCGAGCGUCAUUUCAACCCUCAAGCCCCCGGGUUUGGUGUUGGGGAUCGGCUCUGCCUUCUGGCGGUGCCGCCCCCGAAAUACAUUGGCGGUCUCGCUGCAGCCUCCAUUGCGUAGUAGCUAACACCUCGCAACUGGAACGCGGCGCGACCAUGCCGUAAAACCCCAACUUCUGAAUGUUGACCUCGGAUCAGGUAGGAAUACCCGCUGAACUUAAGCAUAUCAAUAAGCGGAGGA